UAGCUCAGUGGUUUGAGCAUUGGCCUGCUAAACCAAGGGUAUGAGUUCAAUUCUCGA
rnacentral:tRNA from 1 species